ACCUCCACCGCUUGAUGCUCUGUUCCUACCGCCGGAAAAAGGCCGCGGCCGCCCUUCGCGUAUUCAUCUACUCUUCAGAAUCUGCAAUAUCACAGACGAAGGGCUAAAUCAAACAGAGAAAUUUUGCUUAGCUAAAUGUUGAAACCUAGGAAAGUUAGUGGUAGGGGAGAAACAACGGGUGGAGCUGCACACUAUGCAUUUGGAGCCCUAGAAGAUGAUAUGAUUAUCAAACAUAGGCUUCUCACACGAACAACAACCACAAGGGGUGAACCUCCUUUAAAAAAGCUUCAAAAGAAGUUCACUGCUUUUGCUCUGGAAACUGAGAAGGACGCAGAGAACUUUGCUGAUUGUGAGAGGCUUGCCAAGGCUUUCUUGCAGGAGCUGAAGACUUUUGAGCUCCCCUUGGUGAAGACGAAGGCAGUUAUUGAUGCAAAUGUGAGAGAGAAGGAGAAUUUCAAUGAGUUGAAUGAUGAGAUUAAUAGGAAGAUAGUGGAGGCACAAGAUGAUAUUGAGGAUUUGAAGAGGCAACUUGAGGAGAGCAAGGUGGAGAGGAAGCAUAAGGAGGAGUGUGAGACGAUUAGGAAGUUGAUUGCUGCACAGCAGCCCAGAUAUGAGACUCAGAAGCUGAUUAAUGAACUGGAGAAGGAGAUUGCAGCAUUGGAAGCAGAGAAUACUGCAAGUUCAAGGACACUGGAACUUCGUAAAAAGCAAUUUGCUCUUUUGUUGCAUGUGUUUACAUUAAAUGAAUAAUCAUAAGACCGUAACUACAUAUGACCAACACCUACCUUCAAAGUUCAACCGGAAGCUUUGUUCCAAAGAGAGAGAUUUGGGGAUAGAAAGUUGAAGUCUUAAGGAUGCUAUUGAGUUCAAUUUGAAGAUGAAUGUGAUAGUCUGUUGAUCAGCCUUCUCUUUCCCUUGACAGUAAUGUGGAUGAGUUACAGAACACCAUCGAGGAAGAGCAAAAGAGUAUGGUGGAGGAAAUGCGAAUGGCGAUGUACGAGAACAAGAACAUUGUG